rnacentral:rRNA from 1 species
GAUGAACGCUGGCGGCGUGCUUAACACAUGCAAGUCGAACGAAGCACUCAUGACAGAUUCUUCGGAUGAUGGAUUGAUUGACUGAGUGGCGGACGGGUGAGUAACGCGUGGGUAACCUGCCUCAUACAGGGGGAUAACAGUUAGAAAUGACUGCUAAUACCGCAUAAGCGCACAGUACCGCAUGGUACGGUGUGAAAAACUCCGGUGGUAUGAGAUGGACCCGCGUCUGAUUAGCUAGUUGGUGGGGUAAUGGCUCACCAAGGCGACGAUCAGUAGCCGGCCUGAGAGGAUGAACGGCCACAUUGGGACUGAGAUACGGCCCAGACUCCUACGGGAGGCAGCAGUGGGGAAUAUUGCACAAUGGGGGAAACCCUGAUGCAGCAACGCCGCGUGAAGGAUGAAGGUUUUCGGAUCGUAAACUUCUAUCAGCAGG